CAGUUCAUUAUAAAAGAGUUUCAACCAGAAGCUGUGCCAUUACCAAGACCUGUAGGAGUGAAGAGGAACACGUGAGAACAAGAAGUUCAUGAAGAUAAAACCAAGAGGCAUCACAUUCUCAAGUCUGCCGACUAUAUCAGAAGUCAAGAACAUCUUCAUCAGUUCAUCCACUUGUUCUACAUUUUAAAAAGUCACCUGCAAUGGAAACUGAGGAAAAUUUGACCACAACUCAUUAUGCAAAUAAUAGGGUUUUUUUUAAUUCCGCAACCACAGUAUUUAAUGUCUACUCAUGUAUCAUCUUAAGCAUUGAAUCUCCCUUCCUUUGUUUGGCCAUUUACACAGUUUUCUUUCUCAACAAAUCUGGUCAAGGAGCUCCGGUAUUUGCCAUAAAUUUACUCAUUUCAGACCUCAUACAGACUUUUAGCAUUAUCCUAGUUUAUUUCGGGAUAAUAUAUGCUAGUAUAUAUACUAUAUUUGCUCUGAUUCCUUUUGCUGUGUCUUUUUUGGCUUCUCUGUAUUUCAUGACAUGUAUUGCUGUAGAAAGAUAUCUUCUGAUUGCCCAUCCGAUUUGGUACAGACAGCGUCACCCAGUCAAAUGUCUCGUCUGUACUUCUCUGACUGGCUGGUUGCUAUCGUGCAUUUUAUAUUUGUUUUUGGGGGGAUACCUGAUAUUAAUCAUAGCUCUCUCUUACUACCUGGUGAUAGUUUUCUGUUUCGUAGGUGCAUGCAGGGCUCUCUCUCAGUCACAGUCGAUCACUUCUAUAAAGAGACGAUUGGUUAUAGCGACUCUGCUAUUUGUACUGCUGAGUUACACGUUUACCAUCCUUCCUUAUGUUAUUACAUCUUUUUUAGAUUAUUAUUUUGAUUCUAUGAUCCUUUACCAUACAACGAAAAUUGCAAUGGCUUUUUUUCUGUUAAACCCGAUGGUGGAUUGUUUGUUGUAUGUGUUCAUGAGGUCUGAUGCCGGGGAUGCUUUCAGGACGCCUCACUGCUGUUCCAGAAGAAGAGAAAAUCAGAAUGAAACUCAGCUCACAAACUUAACCGGUGUACGCAGUCAUCAUGUGUGAUUACAGUGAUAUUAUUAUUGUUAACAAAUAGUUCAGUGCAUAUUUCACCUGAUAGUAUGCACAUGACAGCAGUCACAUAUGUUUGUGAGCAUGGUCCUAAAAUUGUGUAAUGCAUUUGUACUGUAAUGCUGUGAUCGUAUCUGUUGUGGUAUUAUGCCUUAUGGACAUCACUUAGUUGUAAGUGGUUUAUCAAUAUGUCAGUGUGGUCAUGAUAUUUGCAUGUGUAAAUUAUCUUAAAGUGAAGAAAACAUUUGUGAAUAAUGUUAUCAAAUAAGAAGUCCCACUUGUAAUCUAUUAACAGUUCAAUACAUUUAAUUUAAUAACUUUAAUUUUUAAAGUGCACCUAUUUCAUUUCUAAAAAACAACAUUAUUUUGUGUAUUUGGUAUAAUAUGUGUUUGCAUGGUUUAUGGUGCAAAAACACAUACCGUACAUUUUUUGUAGCUCCAGAUAUACUGCUUUCCUCACAAUGCACUGAUUUUGUACAAAACUCGUCGAUUUGAAAAGCGCUGUGUCACUGAUUGGCCAGCUAAUCUGUACUUUGUGAUUGGCUUGAAUACCUCUGACGUCAGCUAGAAAUGUGACGCUCCUUACCAUGUUUGAAAGAUUCGCUCACAAUGCAAUGCUAACAGGAGUUAACUUACAGGCUGUGAGUCCGAAGCGGGAGGAAUUAUGAUAAUGUCGGUCUUUACUACAUCACCAAUACCAGGGAGUAAACUGUUGCCUACAAUCUGUGUGUUUGUUGUAGUCCAAGAAAAGAGAUUUAUGUUGGAAAUGAUAACUUGCGUCAUCGUUUACUUCAGAGUUUUUACCUUUUGCAUAUCACUAACAUGUACUAAUACACACUUACACACCAAAGGAAAUGUAAAAUCAUGAAUGGGACCAUUGGUGCUCUUUAAAUAAUGUAUUUAUUAAUCCAUUAAUAUUUGUCUUUUAUGUGUAUAUUAUUAUUCUACAUGUCUACAAUAAUAACUGAUAUUAUCAUCAUCACGCAUCCUUACAUCCCUGAAGACAGGGUAAAAUAGUUAUCAUCACUGGUUAUUUAAAUUAGAAAUGUAAUCUUCCUAUUGACGUCUUUUAUUGAUGUUUGUCGAAAUAAUAAAUAAAUCUGAUAAUUCACUCAG